rnacentral:rRNA from 1 species
UACGUAGGGUGCGAGCGUUGUCCGGAAUUACUGGGCGUAAAGAGCUCGUAGGUGGUUUGUCGCGUUUGUCCGUGAAAACUCACAGCUCAACUGUGGGCGUGCGGGCGAUACGGGCAGACUUGAGUACUGCAGGGGAGACUGGAAUUCCUGGUGUAGCGGUGGAAUGCGCAGAUAUCAGGAGGAACACCGGUGGCGAAGGCGGGUCUCUGGGCAGUAACUGACGCUGAGGAGCGAAAGCGUGGGGAGCGAACAGGA